rnacentral:rRNA from 1 species
UACAGAGGCCCCAAGCGUUACUGAGAAUCACUGGGUUUAAAGGGUGCGUAGGUGGCGCGUUAAGUCCGUUGUGAAAGCCCUGGGCUCAACCCAGGAACUGCUUCGGAUACUGGCGCGCUUGAGGCUAGUAGGGGUCACUGGAACUGACGGUGGAGCGGUGAAAUGCGUAGAUAUCGAGAGGAACACCUGAGGUGAAGACGGGUUGCUGGGCCGACACUGACGCUGACAGCGCGAAGCCAGGGAGCAAACGGG